rnacentral:sRNA from 1 species
UGGUAGAUGCACCCUGAUGUUUAACUCCUGAGUCUUUCUGAGGCUUGGGAGUUUUUUUU